rnacentral:rRNA from 1 species
UACGGGGGGGGCAAGCGUUGUUCGGAAUUACUGGGCGUAAAGGGCGCGUAGGCGGCCUGCUAAGUCGAUCGUGAAAUCCCCGGGCUUAACCCGGGAACUGCGACCGAUACUGGUUGGCUUGAAUUCGGGAGAGGGAUGCGGAAUUCCAGGUGUGGCGGUGAAAUGCGUAGAUAUCUGGAGGAACACCGGUGGCGAAGGCGGCAUCCUGGACCGGCAUUGACGCUGAGACGCGAAAGCCAGGGGAGCAAACGGG